rnacentral:tRNA from 1 species
UGGGGUAUACCUCAGUGGUAGAGCAUAUGCUUAGCAUGUAUGAGGUCCUGGGUUCAAUCCCCAGUACCUCCA